CUCCUCCUCGCCCAGCUGGAAAAUUCUCUUCAUUUGAGAAGCUGAUGGAGAGGCUUCAUAAAAGGUUUCCAGACAAGAGCAGACAAGAAUUGAUUGGUUACCUAAGGAAAGUAAAAGCAGCUUCUGGAGUCGGUGGGUUCCGAGGCAAACCUAUAGCCUAUGUGAUAAAGUGUGUCGAAGAAGUAAUUGAGGAAAAACAAGACCUGUAGGGUGCUAAAGAAUUGGUGUUGGAUGCUGUGUCAAACAUGUGCAGGAUAUCGAUGACUUGCCCCUCGC